rnacentral:rRNA from 1 species
CCUACGGGAGGCAGCAGUGAGGAAUAUUGGUCAAUGGGCGAGAGCCUGAACCAGCCAAGUCGCGUGAGGGAGUACUGCCCUAUGGGUUGUAAACCUCUUUUGUCGGGGAGCAAAAGCCGGACGUGUCCGGCUGUGAGAGUACCCGAAGAAAAAGCAUCGGCUAACUCCGUGCCAGCAGCCGCGGUAAUACGGAGGAUGCGAGCGUUAUCCGGAUUUAUUGGGGUUAACGGGUGCGCAGGCGGAUUUUUAAGUCAGCGGUCAAAUCGUGGGGCUCAACCCCAUCCAGCCGUUGAAACUGGGGAUCUAGAGUGUGCGAGAGGUAUGCGGAAUGCGUGGUGUAGCGGUGAAAUGCAUAGAUAUCACGCAGAACCCCGAUUGCGAAGGCAGCAUACCGGUGCACAACUGACGCUCAGGCACGAAAGCGUGGGUAUCGAACAGGAUUAGAUACCCCUGUAGUC